GUUUUCAAAUGCAAAGGCAAAUGGAAGAUCAAGAUGAAAUGAAAACGCUCAAACAAGCCUUGUGUUAAUACAAUAAAAGGGUGCUGAUGAAGAUGAAGACGAUCUUGGAGGCUGAAUAAAAAAUUUGGAAGGGGCAGAUGGAUCCACUGAAACAUUAUGGUUCCCUCAGCUCCUCCAGCCCUAGGCCAUCAAUGGAGAUGGGCAUGAAGACAGCGGAAGUCACCAGAAAGACAGCAAACCUCCAGCUAACAGCUAAUCCUGUCUCUAAUUAAUUAAUUAAUUAAUUAAAAGUAAAUAAAUAAGAAGGAGUGGAUGUC
rnacentral:lncRNA from 1 species